rnacentral:lncRNA from 1 species
CACAAAUUUUCGGUAUUCUUGAUUUGUUAUUGAUAUAGUUAUAUAUAUUUUCACGACAGAACAUUUUCAUAUCAUUUAUCUGUGUUCAAAAAAAAAAAAAAAAAAUUAUGAAUAUUUAUUGAUGAAAGCAAUAAUGAAUGUUAUUUUGCGUUCGGUUAUCAGUCAAAAAAGAAAGUCACGUGGUUAGAAAUGACUGUGACAACAAUACAGCGGAAUGCCCUCAUGGUCAUUUGAUGUAAAAAUCAAUUAUGUGGCGCUAAUACGCUUCCGUAUUUAAACCACUGGUGACGCAUACAAAGCAGACGGCGAUUGUCUAUCAUCUGGUCUAGAUCCGUUUUAAGAUAAUAAGUAACCAUAAUAAUACAAAAAAGAGAUAUGGUAUGAUUACAAAUGAAACAAUUAUCCACAACAGUUAAAAUGAAGUGGAUAUAAGUAUUUAGAGACCAUCGAACGGCCUUCAAGAAUGAAAAAAUCAUACCGUAAUGCUUGCUAUAAAAGCCAUAAAUUUGUUUUCUCAUUUUAAGUAUCUUCUUAAAUUGUUCUUAAUAUAAAGGCAUGAUAGACAAUAGCCUUAAACACCCAUGCCUUGUAAAGGAGAAGCGAGGAAUACGGUUACCAAAGAGACAUAAAAACUCAUAAGUGUAAAAUAAACCAACUAAGCCAUGGCAAAAUAAGACAAAGAC